rnacentral:lncRNA from 1 species
CAUGCAGGUAGCCUACUACUGACAGAAUCUGUGAACUGGAAGAAUUCGAGGACUGCGCGGGUUCACUGGGUGUGUGACGUGUGUUCUCUCUGCGUGCCAGAAUAGGGAGGGACGGACAGAAACCUCGGCUGGAGGCAGAAACCAAUCAGAGCGACACAUUACCGAAGACAUCGAUCGGGAUUUAUUAAUCUGACGGAAACCGCCAUCAGUCUGUCAAACAAUAACCUUCAGAAACAUUAAGCGCCGACGACAUGGCUGAUUUUACUAUUGACCAGAACAACCUGCCUGGCGUAAAAGAGGUGUGCCGGGACUUUGCUGUGCUAGAAGACCACUGUCUUGCCCACAACCUUCAGGAACAGGAAAGUAAGUCCUCUUGACCCUUUGCAUCUUAAAUGAACUUCAGUGCAUGGAAAGUUAU